CGGGAUGUGGCGCAGUUCGGUAGCGUACACGCAUGGGGUGCGUGGGGUCGCAGGUUCAAAUCCUGUCAUCCCGA
rnacentral:tRNA from 1 species